UCUUUGAGUAACCUGGGGCCCACAGCUCACAGCAUAGUGCGCAAAUGUGUGAUGACAAUGACUCCCCAGGUGUAUGAUGUCCCCCAGGUAUGAGGUUUCUCCAGAUUACAUAUUUUCCAGACCCAGAGGAUACAGUGAUGAGACAUAGUCUCCUCCCACCAGGACAUCACAGUGCAAUAAAAAUCAGAUGGCACCGUGAACCCCUGGUGUCCCUUCAAAGGGCCUUCUGAGCAUGUUUCGAAGUUCCCCUGUGGCCCACAGCCCGGAAGCACCCAGGACUGGAGACCAGACAUCCCUCGUGUCAGAGCACUGAGAGAAGAGAAGCAAGUCUGCAGCCAGGGAGGGAUCCCUGCAGUCCUGGGGUAGACACCAGCCACAGCCUCCACUGGAGCCCCUGAGCCCACCGCCUCCUCACCCUGGAAGUCUUGGUUUGCAUGGAGGCAAGGUCAAAGGCUUGGGAGGAGCCAUAAAUAAGAACCAGGUGUCCCUUGUAGUUCACUUACUCUCACAGGAGGUAAAUCAAAGGGUGAGCCUCGCAAGAUACUGUGACAUUACAAAAAAAAAAAAAUCCAUCAGAAAAUCUCAUCUUUAAAGAUCUCUCAAGCAAAUGGCAUUAUGCCCAUUUUCCAGAAGACCAAGCACUACAUGGUGAUGGGAAAGAUGCCUGCAAAGCAAAUGACGAUAAGGCACUGACCCUUCUCUCCUGGCAAUUAUGUGACCAAAUUAUGAAGGUCCUGAGACAACACAUCACAGCCUCUAUGAAGCAGUGAAAGACCUGUUGGUCUCUACUGGGGGCUGAAGAAAGGGCUUAGGGAAGUGACUCACCCACAGCAAGGCCCAGGUCACCCAAUUUACCUGCCGCCAUCUUGCUGGGCAGAAUUGUGUUUCCCCCUCAAGAACUAGCUGUUGCUGUUUUCCAAAAGAAGAGACCUUCAUAUUCCGAGCAGGAGAUUCUCCAGGUUACUGCUGCAGAAAUGGAAAUGCACUCCUAGCGCCUCAGGGAUACGCAGUGAGACCAAUUAUUCUCUUAUCCCCAGAAGCCGGGCGGCAUUUGAAAUUGUGCUGUCCUGGGAGACCACGCUCCCACCUACACUGGUUUCUCUCGUCACUCUUGUCCCUGUUCACUUCCGUCAUGUUGACAACCUCCUCUGACAGCGCUCCAGCUACUCCACAUGGCGAAAGGCAUCAGGUUCAAGAAAACUGACCUGACAGGUUAAAAUAAAAACCAGGCUAGUGGAACAAUUGCCAAAGUCUUGUGAAUAUUUUAAAGUAGCUCAAUAACGCAAAAGAUCAUUCUUAAUAACCAGAGGGCAUAGCAUGUGAUUUUUACAAUCAUGACAAAGCCAAGGAUCAUGAUUGAGUCCUACAAUAUAAACACCAGACAGAGACAAGAGGCGUUUGAUUUCUGAGAAUGCCGGCUUGCUGACAGCAACUUCAAAUCCCUCCAACUUCUCAUUAGGUGUGAUUUUGAGUUCAUCUAUCUUACAUCUCAGACAGUAACCUUUAAUGGCAUUAAUUAAUGGAACAUUUUUUAAGUCCUCCUGCAAUUUUUUUGAUUACAGUUAUAAAACAUACCAUAGUAACCUUUCCUGCUUUUGUAAUUACUGCUUUGUGAAAUUCCAAUU